rnacentral:rRNA from 1 species
GACGAACGCUGGCGGCGUGCUUAACACAUGCAAGUCGAGCGGUAAGGCCCUUUCGGGGGUACACGAGCGGCGAACGGGUGAGUAACACGUGGGUGACCUGCCCUCAGCUCUGGGAUAAGCCUGGGAAACCGGGUCUAAUACCGGAUAUGACUCCAUGACGCAUGUUGUGGGGUGGAAAGCCUUGUGCGGCUGAGGAUGGGCCCGCGGCCUAUCAGCUUGUUGGUGGGGUGAGGCCUACCAAGGCGACGACGGGUAGCCGGCCUGAGAGGGCGACCGGCCACACUGGGACUGAGACACGGCCCAGACUCCUACGGGAGGCAGCAGUGGGGAAUCUUGCGCAAUGGGCGAAAGCCUGACGCAGCGACGCCGCGU